GAUGAAGAACGUAGCGAAAUGCGAUAAGUAAUGUGAAUUGCAGAAUUCAGUGAAUCAUCGAAUCUUUGAACGCACAUUGCGCCCCCUGGUAUUCCGGGGGGCAUGCCUGUCCGAGCGUCAUUACAACCCUCAAGCUCAGCUUGGUGUUGGGCCCCGCCGCCCCGGCGGGCCCUAAAGUCAGUGGCGGUGCCGUCCGGCUCCGAGCGUAGUAAUUCUUCUCGCUCUGGAGGUCCGGUCGAGUGCUCGCCAGCAACCCCCAAUUUUUUUCAGGUUGACCUCGGAUCAGGUAGGGAUACCCGCUGAACUUAAGCAUAUCAAUAAGCGGAGGA
rnacentral:misc_RNA from 1 species